rnacentral:lncRNA from 1 species
ACAAAUCAACGCAAUGCAAUAAAUUGUGAAAGAAUUGUCUUCUAGGAGGGACCUCUGUUCUCCUGCAAAUGGCAGAUGAGAGGAGUCACAGGUUUUCUCUCCUCUUAAUUAUUCAGAUCUUGGCACCUGAGGAGCAGACCAGCUGGGGUUAGGAAUCCAAAGCAGGGCAGGAUCCGUCCACACACUCGUGUGUUUAUUUAUUUAUGCAGCUCCAGCAAAGAAAAUUAAAAACAGGGCUGGCCCCUGGCUGGGAGAUGGAGCCUGACACUGCAUAUGCGUCUGUGAGACUCAGUCUGGUCCCGGAUGCCCGACUCCUCGAGGUCUGUCUGUGCACUGGGCCAAGGCCCUGCUGGCCACAGAACAUAGGCGGUGAGGGCUGCAUAGGGAGGGGCUGUGGUUUCAGAGGCUGACGCAGCUGGCUGGCCUUCUGCUCCUUGUCUCCCGGAGGCUCCCUGCCCUCAGCAAUAGAAGUGCCCUGGUCUUUGCCAGAACCAAACAGUGGUCACAGCUAGGACCUGCACCGGGGGUCCUGAAUCCACCUUGCCCGGUGCCCAGAUGCCCCUCCUGCUCUCUGGAUGGAGCCCACCCUCAACAAGCACUCCGGCAGGACCAGGUUCCAUGAAGACAAUGCCACUUGGAAUCUGAUAACAAUUGCGGGUCCAGAUGACUCUCGUGGGCAGCAUCCUCCAUGUGGACUCAGCCAUCCAGGUGGCCUCUAUCCUGCAGUGUCCACCUCACAGCUCUGGCACCAUCAUGGUGCAGAGUGCAGCCCUAGGAAGAUGGGAGACCCAGGAACUGGCCCUGUCUCUGCUGAUAGCUCCGUCAGCUUGAAUGAGGUCUAAGCCCCACGGACACUCUGCAUAAAGAAGCAUGCAUGUUGUUUCCUCCACCAUCAAGAAUCUGGAAAAAGGAGGAAAGCCUAGAAAACAACAACAACAACAAAACACUGCUUCUUAAAGAUAUCAACCCCAAAGUGACACCUAUCACUUCCUCUUUCAUGUCACUGGCCACCCCCACCUUCACUGAGAAGAAAAAGGUUAAUUCGACUACACACCUGACUUCACUGUUUGAUCAUCUGAUUGUGGACAAGUCACUUAAUUUGACUGUAUUUCAGUUUCCUUGUUUGUUAAAUGAAAACAGAAACAGUGCUUUGCUCAUGGCAUUGUCAUGAGACUUAAAUCAUACACAAAAAUGUUAGCUAUAAUGACAAUGUGAUCUACCCACAGAAAAUAUAAAGUAUUAUUUGUGUGUGCAUGUCUGUUUAAUGUGAGUAGUAUCAGACUACAUUUCCAAUGCCGAUAAAAAUGUGUGAUCUGACUGAAACAAUAACCUCGCAUUUUAUUUCAAACUUACACACUUACACAAUACAUCCAUACAUGCGAGUCACCAUUGCGUUUCGUUCCCAUGAAAACUUGGAUUGCGUCAGAGUUUUAUUGCUUUUGACCCAAUGCCACUUAAUGAUUGAAAAAAAAUGGUGGGUUCAUGUUUGGUAUUUCCUGAUGCGGGCAAGGGAGCAGGGCUGCUCUCAGCAGGCGGUUCUUACCCACGUGCUCACUGGCCCUCCGCAAGCUGAUGUCCAAGACGACAGACACAUGGUUUAGGGAGCUCAGAUGCUUGAACUGUGACGCAGCUGGAAACCCAAUCAGGACAUCGGAGAAGAAAGCAGAGUGAGGUGGGGUCAGAAGGGGGCACGUGGGACAUUCCCAGGAGUUGGAACUGAAGAGGGGUGAAAGGGAGGGAUGUGGGCAAAGUCAAGCUCUGGAAGCAGAGGCUCAGGGGGUACCCUGUGUUUGUGGUUGGGGACAGAGAUGGGGCAAUGAGGCCCAGCACCCAAAGGCCAACAGGGCUAAGGUGUGCAAUGACUUCAGGUUGACUCUGGAGGCUGAUGAGUUGUUUGUCUGGAUGGACGUGUGGUUGGCAGAUGUCUUGUGCCUGCCCAGCCUUCACCCCACACUUCUGGGGCCAUGCUCUGAGCUUGCUCAGGGAACCAUGGCUUUGCUGGUCUCAGCACAGCUCCAGAAAUGAUCAUGUGGCUCCGGUUUGACCAAUGAGGCGCCACAUCCCUCUGGCCACAAUGAUUGGCUCAGGAAUGGCAUGUGACCCAGUCAGACCCAAUCAAAGCUCACCCUGGGCCUUGCUAGGGGAGGAAGGAUGGAAGGUGUAAGACUCCACCUUCAGAGCCCCCUGGGUGGGGGUCACAUGUGCCUCAGGGUGAUGUCAAGAAGGUUGUGCUGAGAUGGAGAGAAAAAGAGUCAUAGUCCCUGGAUUUGGAUAUGCUCAAAGCCAGCUUGUCAUUGGCCUUUUCUUGGCAUGAGGCAAUACAUUCCUUUCCUUCGUUUAAACUAGUCGGACAUGGGUUUUCUGUCACUUACAACCUAAUGUCUUCUAAAACAGCCUUCCCCAACCUUUUUCACACCAGGGACUGGUUUCAUGGAAGACAAUUUUUCAACGCAUGGUGGGUGGUGGGGAGGGAUUGUUUCAGAAUGAAACUGUUCCCCCUCCUAUCAUCAGGCACUAGUUAGAUUCUCAUAAGGAACCCACAACCUAGACCGCUCGAACACGCAGUUCACAACAGGGUGAAUGCUCCUGUGGUAAUCUAAUGCAGGGAUGGCCAGCCUUUGGCUUCCCUGGGCCAUGUUGGAAGAAUUGUCUUGGGCCACACAUAGAAUACACUAACACGAAUGAUAGCCGAUGAGCUAAAAAAAAAAAAAAAAAAAA